rnacentral:rRNA from 1 species
AUACAGAGGGUGCAAGCGUUAAUCGGAAUUACUGGGCGUAAAGCGCGCGUAGGCGGUUUAAUCAGUCGGAUGUGAAAGCCCCGGGCUCAACCUGGGAACUGCAUUCGAUACUGUUAAGCUAGAGUAUGCUAGAGGGAAGUGGAAUUCCAGGUGUAGCGGUGAAAUGCGUAGAUAUCUGGAGGAACAUCAGUGGCGAAGGCGACUUCCUGGACCAAUACUGACGCUGAGGUGCGAAAGCGUGGGGAGCAAACAGUAUUAGAAACCCUAGUAGUCC